UAGUCAUAAAGCCUUGUUCAAGCAGAUUUGAUGAGGCCAGCUAAUUUAAUUCCGAACAUUGUCUCUAAGAGGACAUGGCAACCUGCAACUUUCAGCUCAUUUUCUUUAUUGUCUAAAUGAGUUUCUGCCGAUUGUCUUUUCUCAAUCUCACUGCUUUGUCACCUUAUUUUCCAGAUGUGUUUUGUUCCCUCUGUAAUUAUCCAUAUUUCCUGUUCCAUCAAUGCUCCACUAUUUAAUAGAAAAUCCACCAGAGUUCUCUAUAAACCCUUAUCUCCAGCUAUUCUCCCUGCCUUGCUCUUACUUUUAUGCAGAAAGUUGAAGGGAAAGAACCUUAAGAUAUGAAUUCUAGUUUUGAUUCACUGUCCACUUAGGUCCUUGUUUUAUACUCCAGUGUUCAGACCACACCCUCCACCAGCAAUUUCCAAGAAUUUUCAAAGCAUUAACUAAAGUCAUGCAUGUGAAAACACUUCAUACAGUCCUAAAGGACUAAAGAAAUGCAUGUUAUCUUUUACUCACACAGAAGGCAAUGCCCAGAGGACCAUUAAGUAAGGUUUCUAGUUUGAAAGAAUUGCUGGGAGCAGCAAAAUUGCUGAAAUGAGUGGCUCCAAGCAGGCUCAGAAACCAGUACCCCCUCCCAGAGAAGUAAGGACCCCUGGACAGCAUCCCAGACAAAAAGUUGAACUCAGAGGAAAGGAGACUGGAGUAAAGAGGUACAGUCUACAAAAAAGGGACAUGUGUACCAAGAGGUCAGCGAGCCCCAGGAUGACAACUACCUCUGUACAGGAAAGAGGCCAAAUGAUGUGAGUACCACAGGUCAUUCAGAAGGGCUUUACGACCAGCAACAUAUCAAAUAUAUACUGGGUGUGAUGUCAUACAGUCAUUGUGAUAUCAUAAAUAGAGUGAGUGUGAUGACAAAGAUACAGUGGAUGCGAUGUUAUAAACGGUGAGUAUAAUGUCAUGAAUA